rnacentral:rRNA from 1 species
UACAGAGGGGGCUAGCGUUAUUCGGAAUUAUUGGGCGUAAAGGGCGCGUAGGCGGCCAUGCGUGUCUUCCGUGAAAUCCCUCGGCUUAACUGAGGACGUGCGGAAGAAACUGCAAGGCUUGAGUCCGGGAGAGGGUCGUGGAAUUCCCAGUGUAGAGGUGAAAUUCGUAGAUAGUUGGGAAGAACACCGGUGGCGAAGGCGGCGACCUGGUCCUUGACUGACGCUGAGGCGCGAAAGCGUGGGGAGCAAACAGG